rnacentral:rRNA from 1 species
GAUGAACGCUGGCGGCGUGCCUAAUACAUGCAAGUCGAGCGAACAGACGAGGAGCUUGCUCCUCUGACGUUAGCGGCGGACGGGUGAGUAACACGUGGAUAACCUACCUAUAAGACUGGGAUAACUUCGGGAAACCGGAGCUAAUACCGGAUAAUAUAUUGAACCGCAUGGUUCAAUAGUGAAAGACGGUUUUGCUGUCACUUAUAGAUGGAUCCGCGCCGCAUUAGCUAGUUGGUAAGGUAACGGCUUACCAAGGCGACGAUGCGUAGCCGACCUGAGAGGGUGAUCGGCCACACUGGAACUGAGACACGGUCCAGACUCCUACGGGAGGCAGCAGUAGGGAAUCUUCCGCAAUGGGCGAAAGCCUGACGGAGCAACGCCGCGUGAGUGAUGAAGGUCUUCGGAUCGUAAAACUCUGUUAUUAGGGAAGAACAAAUGUGAAGUAACUAUGCACGUCUUGACGGUACCUAAUCAGAAAGCCACGGCUAACUACGUG